GAUGAACGCUGGCGGCGUGCUUAACACAUGCAAGUCGAACGAAGCAUUUAGGACAGAUUACUUCGGUUUGAAGUUCUUUAUGACUGAGUGGCGGACGGGUGAGUAACGCGUGGGUAACCUGCCUUGUACUGGGGGAUAGCAGCUGGAAACGGCUGGUAAUACCGCAUAAGCGCACAAUGUUGCAUGACAUGGUGUGAAAAACUCCGGUGGUAUAAGAUGGACCCGCGUCUGAUUAGCUAGUUGGUGAGAUAACAGCCCACCAAGGCGACGAUCAGUAGCCGACCUGAGAGGGUGACCGGCGACAUUGGGACUGAGACACGGCCCAGACUCCUACGGGAGGCAGCAGUGGGGAAUAUUGCACAAUGGAGGAAACUCUGAUGCAGCGACGCCGCGUGAGUGAAGAAGUAAUUCGUUAUGUAAAGCUCUAUCAGCAGGGAAGAUAGUGACGGUACCUGACUAAGAAGCUCCGGCUAAAUACGUG
rnacentral:rRNA from 1 species